CCUGCGCGGCUCUCUUCCCGCCGGCUGCGAUAAGGCGGCGGUGCCGGCAGGGGGCGCCGGGGCCCCGCCCCGCCCCUUCCCCUGCGGCCACGGUCGGUUCCGGCGGCGGCCGGGGCCUGCAGCAGGGCGCGGAGCGGAAGAUACUUUCUCCACAUUUGGAUGUUGUAUAGCAAUCAAUUUCUUAGAUAUUAGUCCUCUUGCUGAUAUUGAAGAUUACCUCUAGUAAGUUGGGUGGGCCAGGGCUCUUUUUAGUAUUUUCAACAUGUAAACAUUUUAUGCAUUUUGGGGAGAAGUCCUCCAGAGUCUUCCUCAAAAAGCCCACUUCAGGGGUAAUCUCCAACAAAAGAUGGCAGGAGCUGGCUCUAAAAAUGCCACUUCCUGUGUCAUGUCGACCACUUGACAGUGACUCAAAGUGCUGAUCGUCCCUCCUUAUGGGGUGAACUCCAUUACUCUUCUAUCCCAAGGAAUGAGGCUGAAGCAAAAUGAAUGAACAUCCUAAAAAGAGGAAAAGGAAGACUUUACAUCCUUCACGUUACUCAGAUUCUUCAGGUGUAAGCAAAUAUAUAGACAACAAUGGAAUCUUUUCUGACCACUGCUAUAGUGUCUGUUCUAUGAAACAGCCAGACAUUAAAAUUUCUGAAAACAGAGGUAGAUUCCAUGCUCCUGCACAGACCCUAGAUACUGAUGAUGAUGGCAGCCCAGUGCAUGCCGGGACAUCUCAUUGGAGUGGGGCACAGUCGAAUGUCAUGGGGUUGCACUUUACAGACCCAAAAAAGAAAGAGAAAAGUGCUAAUAAUGGAAUUUAUAAAGACAUGUGCGAGUCUCCUAUAUUUGGUGACAGUCCAACUGAAGAGGAGAAACCCAUAGAUAUUCAAACCAUAGAAAUUUCGACUACAGAAGUUAAUGCUGUAGAAGUUCAUGAUAUAGAGACGCAAACUGUUUCACCUGAAAAGUUAGAAGUUGAAGAUGUUGAAGAAAUACCUGUUGAAAGCUGUAAACUUUUUGAGAAGAACCAGGCCUUGAAUAUCACUGCUCAGCAGAAGUGGCCUUUGCUGAGAGCCAACAGUAGUGGCCUAUACAAGUGUGAGCUGUGCGAGUUUAAUAGCAAGUACUUCUCUGAUUUAAAGCAGCAUAUGAUCCUGAAGCAUAAGACAUGUACAGAUACCAAUGUCUGCAGAGUAUGUAAAGAGAGUUUCUCCAGCAAAGUUCUGCUGAUUGAACAUGUAAAAAUACAUGAGGAAGAUCCCUACAUCUGUAAAUACUGUGACUACAAAACAGUGAUAUUUGAGAACCUCAGUCAGCACAUAGCAGAUACUCAUUUCAAUGACCAUCUUUAUUGGUGUGAGCAGUGUGAUGUGCAGUUCUCCUCGAGCAGCGAGUUGUACCUGCAUUUCCAGGAACACAGCUGUGAUGAACAGUAUCUGUGUCAGUUUUGUGAGCAUGAAACCAAUGAUCCAGAAGAUUUGCAUAGCCAUGUGGUGAAUGAGCAUGCAUGUAGAUUAAUAGAGUUAAGUGAUAGCUAUAGCAACAAGGAGCGUGGACAGUACAGCCUCAUAAACAAAAUUAGCUUUGACAAAUGCAAAAACUUCUUUGUAUGCCAAGUGUGUGGCUUUAGGAGUAGGCUACAUACGAAUGUCAACAGACAUGUAGCUAUUGAACACACCAAAAUAUUCCCCCAUGUUUGUGACGACUGUGGGAAAGGCUUUUCAGUGUCUGUCCUGGGAAGUGGGGAGGGGAUGAAGAACUCCCUGGAGUUAUGCACCCACUCCAAAGGCCUACGAAGGGAGAGAAAAGGAUGCUUCUGCAGGCCUUGGGUGGAGAGGGCAAGGAGAAAGAACCCGAGGUCCUGCAUGAGUUGCAUAAUGGCAGAAACUACUACCUCCCCCCUGAAACACUUUGUGCUGGCUAAAAAGACAAUUACUACUAUCUUUAACCAACUGCUGGACUAUGUCACUGAAGGAGCAAGUUUUGUUGAAGCAACAUACAGGAACCCAGAACUUGAAUAUGUAGCAACUAAAGAAGAACUGGUGAAAAUACAGGCAUAUAAAAACAAAUUGGCAGACAUCGGUGAGGUGCUUUCACGGAGACACAUGAAAGUUGCAUUUUUUGGCAGAACAAGCAGUGGAAAGAGUUCUGUCAUUAAUGCAAUGUUGUGGGAUAAGGUCCUUCCUAGUGGGAUUGGCCACACAACGAAUUGCUUUCUCAGUGUAGAAGGAACAGAUGGUGAUAAGGCUUAUCUCAUGACUGAAGGAUCAGAUGAAAAGAAGAGUGUCAAGACUGUUAAUCAACUUGCUCAUGCGCUUCAUAUGGAUAAAGACCUGGAAGCUGGCUGUCUUGUCCAUGUCUUUUGGCCCAAGGCAAAGUGUGCUCUCCUGAGAGAUGACUUGGUUUUGGUGGACAGCCCUGGUACAGAUGUCACUACAGAGCUAGACACCUGGAUUGACAAAUUUUGUUUAGAUGCUGAUGUCUUUGUCUUGGUUGCUAAUUCAGAAUCAACUCUCAUGAAUACGGAAAAGCACUUUUUUCACAAAGUAAAUGAACGACUUUCCAAGCCAAACAUCUUCAUCCUGAAUAAUCGCUGGGAUGCAUCUGCAUCAGAGCCUGAAUAUAUGGAAGAUGUGCGCAGGCAGCACAUGGAGCGCUGUCUGACCUUCCUAGUUGAUGAGCUCAAAGUCAUUGAUCUCUCAGAAGCACAGAACCGCAUCUUUUUUGUUUCAGCCAAGGAAGUUCUUAGUGCUAGAAAGCAGAAGGCCCAAGGGAUGCCAGAGAGUGGUGGUGCGCUAGCUGAAGGAUUUCAGACAAGAUUUCAGGAAUUCCAGAAUUUUGAGCAAAUAUUUGAGGAGUGUAUCUCGCAGUCAGCCGUGAAAACCAAGUUUGAACAGCACACUAUCAGAGCUAAACAGAUAAUAGAUACUGUGAAAAACAUUAUGGACGCCAUAAAUGUGGCAGCAGCAGAAAAAAGAGUUCAUUCAAUGGAAGAGCGAGAGGACCAGAAAGAUAGGUUGGAAUUUGUUCAAAACCAACUGAACAUUUUAACAGAGGAUAUUAAGAGAAAAAUCAAACAGGUUACUGAGGAAGUAGAGAACAAGGUUUCUUCUGCAAUGACUGAUGAGAUUUGUCGACUCUCUGUUUUGGUUGAUGAAUUUUAUUCUGAUUUUCACCCUUCUUCACAAGUAUUGAAGGUGUAUAAAAGUGAGCUCAACAAGCACAUAGAAGAUGGUUUGGGAAGGAACCUGGCUGACCGUUGCUCCACUGAAGUCAAUCAAUCAAUGCAUCAGUCACAGCAGGAAAUGAUUGAAAAUCUGACACCAUUAUUACCUUCUGGUGUUCAGAAUCAGCUCCAGUUGCUAAUUCCAUGCAGGAAGUUUGACCUCAGUUACGAUUUGAACUGUCACAGUCUGUGUUCAGAUUUUCAAGAGGAUAUCACGUUCCGCUUUUCCCUGGGGUGGACCACCCUUGUAAACCGCUUCCUAGGCCCAAAGAAUGCUCAUAGAGUGCUACUCGGGCUGGCAGAUCCAACCUCACAGAUCCCUCGUCCUUUAGCUUCCACCCCCUCUGCCACCUGUCUUCCUGCCGUAACUCCAGAGAACGUAUCACAGGAGGAACUCAUGGUUUCUUUGGUAACGAGUUUAGCUUCACUAACAUCACGGACCUCUAUGAGCAUCAUCAUCGUUGGAGGAGUGGCAAGUAGCAUUUGCAACCACCUCUAUAAAUGGAAAGCAUGGCAGAGACUCUUCCAGAUGUACUCUUUUUACUGUUUGGGAUGCCAUCACUGCUGCAUAGAAUUGAUGCUUGCUUGUUAGAAUCAGUCUAAUUAGCAAUGGGCCUAGUCCCCAGAUGGCAAGAAUCAGGAUAGCUCCAUUCAACUCAUGACUUAAAUAGAACUAUGUCUAAUGAAGUUAGUCUUACUAAACAAUAAGUACACUUUCCUUUCAUGUGCUUGGUAAGCCCCUUGCAAUCACAGGUGAAAUCUAAAAAUUUGUAUUUAGCAUAGUAAAGAAUUGUUUGCUAAUCAGUUUAGCCAGGGUUUCUUUGUAAAUGGCUACAGAAUAGUUAAUUUAAGAUACUUAAACUGAGUGAUCGGUUUAUUAGAUUUCUUUGAUAUCCAUUGUUUUUUUUUAAAUUUACUCUUCAUAGGCAAAGGCUCCAGGAAUCAGUCAUGCUGUACCCUGACCUAUAUGAUGCUACAUCAUGGUUCCAAUCCUGCAACCCUUACUUAUGUGAAUUAGGGUUGCAAGAUCUGUGGCAUCAGAACCACUUUGCAAAUGGGGUAUCUGGAUAAAUACUUUUUGUCUAAUGCAGCAAAAUAUUUACAUCUUCAUGGCUAAAUAGCACUGCAGUAAGGAGUAUAAAGUGCAUUAAAUGCUCGUAGUAAGUAUGUAAUAAGAAAACUGGCUGAGUAGGGUCAUGUCGGAGCCUAUAUUUAUUCCAUAUAAAUGUGCUCCGUUUCUAAAUUAUAAACUGUAUUUGAUUUUUUUGUCAGGCUCAGUUUGGAAUUGCUGAGAGCUUUGCUUUCUGCCUCUUACUUUAUCACUAGCAAUCAAGAUUCUGUAAUAUGAAUCUAGCUAAACAGUUCUGCAGCUGAUGCACAAGGUGAAGAGGCUCUAGCUCCUUAUGUAGCUGUGUUGCUCUGCAGUGCUAUCUGGAUGAAAAACAUGUUUUGUUAAUCCAGUCGGACAGAAAGGUGUGGAGAACUGUAGGCUGGAAACUCAUCUGUCUUUCCCUAAGUAUGUAUGGAUUAUUGUAUCUCUAUGAGAAACUAACCUGGACAACUAAAGCAAAAGAGAGAGCCUUUAAACAGCAGUUCGUAAACUAUGCU